rnacentral:pre_miRNA from 1 species
UCCUAUUUGGUUAUCUAGCUGUAUGAGUGUUUUAUUCUUCAUAAAGCUAGAUAACCGAAAGUAAAA